UACGGGGGGGAGCAAGCGUUGUUCGGAUUUACUGGGCGUAAAGGGCGCGUAGGCGGCGUGACAAGUCACUUGUGAAAUCUCCGGGCUUAACUCGGAACGGUCAAGUGAUACUGUCGUGCUAGAGUACAGAAGGGGCAACUGGAAUUCUCGGUGUAGCGGUGAAAUGCGCAGAUAUCAGGAAGAACACCAAUGGCGAAGGCAGCUCUCUGGGACGGUACUGACGCUGAGACGCGAAAGCGUGGGGAGCGAACAGG
rnacentral:rRNA from 1 species